rnacentral:rRNA from 1 species
UACGUAGGGGGCAAGCGUUAUCCGGAUUUACUGGGUGUAAAGGGAGCGUAGACGGCAGAGCAAGUCCGGAGUGAAAGCCCGGGGCCCAACCCCGGGACUGCUCUGGAAACUGUUAAGCUGGAGUGCGGGAGGGGCAGGCGGAAUUCCUGGUGUAGCGGUGAAAUGCGUAGAUAUCAGGAGGAACACCAGUGGCGAAGGCGGUCUGCUGGACAGCAACUGACGCUGAGGCGCGAAAGCGUGGGGAGCAAACAGG